rnacentral:rRNA from 1 species
UACGGAGGGUGCAAGCGUUAUCCGGAUUCACUGGGUUUAAAGGGUGCGUAGGUGGGUUGGUAAGUCAGUGGUGAAAUCUCCGGGCUUAACUCGGAAACUGCCGUUGAUACUAUCAAUCUUGAAUGUUGUGGAGGUAAGCGGAAUAUGUCAUGUAGCGGUGAAAUGCUUAGAUAUGACAUAGAACACCGAUAGCGAAGGCAGCUUGCUACACAAUAAUUGACACUGAGGCACGAAAGCGUGGGGAUCAAACAGGAGUUAG